UUCUCUUUAUAGGCAGCCUUGUUAUAUUUGAACUUUCAGCCUUGACUACAGAAUUCAAAACAGAAAAGUACUUUUCUUGACGAUUUUUCUCACGCAUCUCCAACAUCAUUUUUUCUUGUUUUUUUACCCACGAAUGAUGAGCUCUAACGGAGAUCUGUGAUAUAGCAUGCUUUUUCAGAGAUUUUAGAUAUACCUCAGAAGCAAUACCAUCAAGCAAAACUUCUCGGAAAAUAGUACGGAACAU